CAUUGCUUGAGCAGCUCGGCUUGAUUGUAGCCAAGGAUUGGUUCGGCAUAGGGCGAGGAAGUGGCAUGGGAUAGGCAAUUGUUUGGGCUGCCACGUCUGGGCUACCGGCUGAAAAUGAGGAAAUUGCUUGAGUUUAAUUUUUCAACAUUUGUUGCUUAAUUAAUCUUCAAGCAUUCGAUCUUUUGAACUAUGUGGCUUUCUUGCACUGGAGAGCUUACCCAGAUAGGUGUCAGGGAUUUAGUUUACCCUCUCGCACUGGAGAGCAAUUAGUUUACACUUUCGCACUGGAAAACAAUUAGUUUACCCUAUCGCACUAGAGAACAAUUAGUUUAUCUUCUUGCAUUGGAGAUCAAUUAGUUUACCCUCUCGCACUGGAGAGCAAACCAAUAUAGGUGUCGGGGAAUUGGUUUACCCUCUCGCAUUGGAGAUCAAUUAGUUUAUCCUCUCGCAUUGGAGAGCAAACCCAUAUGGGUGUCAGGGAAUUGGUUUACCUUCUCGCACUGGAAAGCAAUUAGUUUAUCCUCUCGCACUGGAGAGCAUACCCUUUGGGGUGUCGGGGAAUUGGUUUACCCUCUCGCACUAGAGAACAAUAGUUUAUCCUCUCGCACUGGAGAUGAUACCCUUUUGGGUGUUAAGGAAUUGGUUUACCCUAUCGCACUGGAGAGCAAUUAGUUUAUCCUCUCACACUAGAGAGCAGACCCUUUUGGGUGUCGAGGAAUUGGUUUACCCUCUUGCACUGCAGAGCAAUUAGUUUAUCCUUUCGCACCGGAGAGUAUACCCUUUUGAGGCUUAGUUGGCGCGAGAAAUUGUGCAAUCGCUUGGUCAGGAGCCUUUAUACUUCUUCCUAAAUUUUUCUUUGUUGGGGUGGCAGAGCUCUCGACUACCCUUGAUCGUGAUGUGCUGGUUUAAGCUGUUAUUCCAUAUGUUGGGCUCGUUUAUGCCGUGGCUGCGGUGGAUGUAGUA
rnacentral:lncRNA from 1 species